UGGUAAUACAUGUUUUCAAUUAACGCAGAGGCCAAGGGUGAACCUGAUGUAAUAUUUUGCCGGAAAAAUAAAGUGAGAGCGCCCCCUGGUGGGAGGCACAGUCCUAAGCGCUCGAUUAAGAGGAGCCUUGAGAGAAUCAAAGGGUUGUUCGUGAAGGAUGUGUCAUCCCUGGUAGGAGCCACGGGGACCCGGAGCGGCUGGAAGGGGGUGUGUCGGGAGCAGAGAGAUCUCUGAGUGAGUGAAGGUCUGAGUGGAUGGGCCUUGUUGACACGGGCAUGCCAUGUCAAGGACCCUAACGCCUCAGGCCGGUGGAGCCGCAAAGCUUCCCCAGGUGAGGCUCGGAGGCGUGGCUGAGGCCCAAGCACAAGCCCUUGACCAGUGUGCACAGAAACUAGCAACCGCUGCUUCCUCCUGCGGUGUUCACAGCCUGAGACUGCUGGCCUACAGAGGCCUGCUGCAGAGACUGGUUGGUUAACUCCCGCCCCUGUGACCCCUGCUGCAGAGACUGGUUAACUCCGGCCCCUGUGACCCCUGCUGCAGAGACUGGUUAUCUCCCGUCCCUGUGACCCCUGCUGCAGAGACUGGUUGGUUAACUCCCGCCCCUGUGACCCCUGCUGCAGAGACUGGUUAUCUCCCGCCCCUGUCCUGUAGGUGAUUAAACACACCGAGGCGAGGCUGGGAUCGGUGCUGUAGUUGGUUCCACUCCAUCAAAGUGCACCCAGCCCAGCUGACAUCCGUUCUUGUGUGUGUGUGUGUGUGUGUGUGUGUGUGUGUGUGUGUGUGUGCCUGUCCUUUCUUCAUUUCAUUAUUACACCUAGUUCAGAAUGGGUUCAGAAAGUGCAGAGCGGCACCCACUAAGUGAUAACCCAAAGACAUGGUGUAAAGUCGUUUGAACUGAAUGAGGUGGGGUAGAGAGCCCCCUGGAAGCAAAACCUCUGUCAGCCUUCUUCAGCCCUCCUGUCUCCCCUCCUCUCUCCCCACGGAAGUCCAGCCAUGAAACUCAGAAACAACACAUAAGCUUCCCCACCUCUCUGUGUAGCACUUGGCCAUCCAAGUGCUCUGGCCUACAGAGUACGGAGACUAACUUAGGUUGAGUGGUCAGCCCUAGGUGGGACAUCCAGCCCAACACUGCUCCCCACAAAGCUUAGGGAACAUUGCUAAAGGAGGGUGGAGAGAAUACAAGAGCUGGCGGAGGGGAGGAGCGCUAUGAAAUGCUGUCUUCCAGCUGGGACACAGCUGUUGCACUUACGAACUCACCACAGUUAUCGUUACCCACAGGAUGGAGCCAGUAAGAUCAGCGCCCCCAGCAGGCAGCACUAAGUAUGGGAGGGAGCCGGAAGUGGGUAUGAUCAAGAUACAUUGCGUAGGUGUUUGAAAUUGUCACGUAAUACAUAAAGCAUACUUUUAAAAAAGUUUUUCCUGUAGGACUGGAGAGAUGGCUCAGGGGUCAAGAGCACUUGCUAAUCUUGGAGGGGACUCUGGUUUGAGUUCCAGCAACCUCAUGGAGACUCACAACCAUCUGUAAUUCCACUUCCAUGGGCUCCUGCUCCCUCUUGCAGCCCCCACGAGCACCAGGCAUGCGUAUGGUGCACAUGCGUACAGUGUCCUCAAUAAGUCUUAUAAAAUAUAUAGAAAUAUAUAGAUUUGUGAUCAUUAAGACUGAGCUAGCGUAUAAGAAAUCCUAGUCAAUUGGCCAGCAGCAUUGUAAACUAAUAUAAGACUCUGUGUGUUAUUCUGGGCGCCCAUGUGGUGGCAGGGCCCAGGUGGAUGGAGUGAAGACUCGUCGUUACAGAAUGGUGUCAGAAGUGGGAUUAACCCCACACUCUGAGGUUCCCAGAGGAAGCGAAGAACCUGCCGCCACAACCCGCCCUGUGAAGUCGCUGUUCCGCAUCAGAGCAGCUUCCGUACACUCAUGCUGUCCUACGCUCUUACUAAUAUGGUUUGAUCAAGCAAGACACCCUGAAGCAGGGACCCAACAGCUGAGAUGAUGCAGUCAUAGACAACUACAGCCAGGAUUUCUGUUUUAUCAUGAUUCCCAUGUUAUGGACAUUGCCCUGAACCAGCAGGAAGCAGUUUGGAAUGAACGAUGUCCAAAUUCCCAAAUAUUGUUUAAAUGUUUGUUUUCAUUUAAAUGGGGUUGGUUAUAAAUGGUAAUGAAAACCCUU